rnacentral:rRNA from 1 species
UACGUAGUGACCAGCGUUGUCCGGAUUUACUGGGCGUAAAGAGCGCGCAGGCGGUCGUUCAAGUCGAGUGUGAAAGCCCCCGGCUCAACUGGGGAGGGUCAUUCGAUACUGAUCGACUCGAAGGCAGGAGAGGGAAGCGGAAUUCCCGGUGUAGUGGUGAAAUGCGUAGAUAUCGGGAGGAACACCAGUGGCGAAGGCGGCUUCCUGGCCUGUUCUUGACGCUGAGGCGCGAAAGCUAGGGGAGCAAACGGGG